GUAUGUACUGUACAUGUAAGUAGGGCAGAUAGUUUCUUUAGAAAGUUAUCAGUGCCAAAUCUUCCUAACGGUUACGAUUUUGAGGCAAAAGCCAAUGUCAAAAAAUCCUGUUUUGUCUCUAGUAGUGGUUUUGUAAAACUAAAAUGACAUUAUUGUGAUAGCUGUUGGGUUAACAAGGACAUUUAAUAUUAAAAGGAUCUUCCUGGGCAAUAACAGUGGACAUAUUCAAUUUCUUUUCGUAGCCAAGAUUAAGGUAAUUACAUUUCAAAAAUAACCCUAAAUUUGUGACAACUAGCCCCAGACAAUACAUAAAUAUAAUAUUUUCUAUAGUGUACUAUAGUACUCUGUAACUACACUAAAUGAAGAAAAAAGGUUUACUAUUAAAAAUGUUUCUACAAUUUACUAUUAUAGUUUGUAAUCAUAUGGGCUAACACAUGAUCUAUUAUGCUUCCAAAAUAGUUUAGAUAAAUAUACAGUAAGUAACUGAUAAUAUUCUUUAAAUGUAGUCUUGUAAGUGCAUCUGGACCAACAUUUACCUUACAAAGUCCUGCAUUACGAUAUAAUCAUCAUCUCUGUACCUAAGCUUUAUCAGAGCCGUAACUGUAUCUCAGUGGAGCCGCUCAUUUCUGUACUUCUUAUGUGUGCGGUGUGUGGAGUUUGUCCGAAUGAGCCAUGAGCACUGUUUCCAGGCAAACCCUGAAUGCCAGCUGGAUGGUUGCCAUGGCAACAGAGUGAGGCAACUGCACUUCGGAAAGUCUGAAGGAGACCCUGAACACUCCAGUACAAGAGCAAACCGAUGGAGCUGCUCUUCGGAGACAUAGACCCUGGUAAGCACACAUAGUUUUCAGAAGAGAUUUAAACCACAUCUCCGACUGAUACAGAUGUGAUUUAAAAACAAAGAUUAAAUUUGAACUUUUUCCUCGACCAAAUGAUCCGAGCGAAUGCAUAAGUGCUUAUUUAUUAUUGCAAACGUAUUGCACGUCCACAAUUGUGCUAUUUUGUAUAGUUUUACAAGAAAAAUCUUGAAAAAGUUAAUAUUUCAAUGCUUAAGGACUGAAUUGGGUAUUUUGAGCUAUCAAAGUUAAUUUGAACAUUAUUGAUUAGUUAUGCAAAAACACCGUCAGUUACAAAAUGAACCAGGCAGACUCCCCAAAGCUUUUUACCAAGCCCAGAAAAACGAAGCAACCUUAUUUCUAUUAUGUUUUAAAGAACAGAAAAAGAACAACACUAUUCUAAUAAAGAUCUUUAUUCUGUUUUAAAUAGGCCAACAAACCGUAAAAAUACAUACAGGUCAAUUAAUUCUCAUGUGCACCUCAGCUUCUUGGGAUACGGUUGUAAAUUGUCUUCAAAACAAUAUUGCAAAGAUGGAUGACUUGCAGGUGUGAGAAAAAAAAACUUUUUUUGUUGGUGGGUUUUCUUUGUCCCGAUUGGUUUAUCCUGAGAGUCAGUCGGCAUAAGUUCAAAUUGAAGCGAGAGAGACGAACACCAGCACGCCUCCAGAAGCGUAAAAGAAAGUUCAGAUUGUGACAUCACGACGCAGGAUGUGCCAUCAUUUUACUGAGCGAUAACGCAAAACAAACAAAGCAAGAGUCACCCUACAUACCAGAAAAAGAACACAUGAAAAACAAACAUCUAUUAAUAAAAAACCCUCACGGCAGAUUAAAUAAUAUUCAGGUUAAGAGGACAACAAUUUCAUCAAUGCUUUAAAACAAACUCAAAGACAACACAUCCACACACCAACCCAACCAGUUGUGUCUGACUAAAUCAAUU